UGGUACUUGUACCGACUGGAUGAGCAGCGAACGGGUGAGUAACGCGUGGGGAAUCUGCCUUUGAGCGGGGGACAACAUUUGGAAACGAAUGCUAAUACCGCAUAAAAACUUUAAACACAAGUUUUAAGUUUGAAAGAUGCAAUUGCAUCACUCAAAGAUGAUCCCGCGUUGUAUUAGCUAGUUGGUGAGGUAAAGGCUCACCAAGGCGAUGAUACAUAGCCGACCUGAGAGGGUGAUCGGCCACAUUGGGACUGAGACACGGCCCAAACUCCUACGGGAGGCAGCAGUAGGGAAUCUUCGGCAAUGGACGAAAGUCUGACCGAGCAACGCCGCGUGAGUGAAGAAGGUUUUCGGAUCGUAAAACUCUGUUGGUAGAGAAGAACGUUGGUGAGAGUGGAAAGCUCAUCAAGUGACGGUAACUACCCAGAAAGGGACGGCUAACUACGUGCCAGCAGCCGCGGUAAUACGUAGGUCCCGAGCGUUGUCCGGAUUUAUUGGGCGUAAAGCGAGCGCAGGUGGUUUAUUAAGUCUGGUGUAAAAGGCAGUGGCUCAACCAUUGUAUGCAUUGGAAACUGGUAGACUUGAGUGCAGGAGAGGAGAGUGGAAUUCCAUGGGUUAGCG
rnacentral:rRNA from 1 species